UACGUAGGGCGCAAGCGUUGUCCGGAAUUAUUGGGCGUAAAGAGCUCGUAGGCGGCUUGUCACGUCGGGUGUGAAAGCCCGGGGCUUAACCCCGGGUCUGCAUUCGAUACGGGCAGGCUAGAGUGUGGUAGGGGAGAUCGGAAUUCCUGGUGUAGCGGUGAAAUGCGCAGAUAUCAGGAGGAACACCGGUGGCGAAGGCGGAUCUCUGGGACGGUACUGACGCUGAGACGCGAAAGCGUGGGGAGCGAACAGG
rnacentral:rRNA from 1 species